CGAUCUCAUAUCGAUAGUCUCCGAUCUGAUGACGACUGAAGUUCAUCUGUUGUCCGA
ensembl:ncRNA T27D12.8 ncRNA